CCUACGGGCGGCAGCAGUGAGGAAUAUUGGUCAAUGGGAGAGAUACUGAACCAGCCAAGCCGCGUGAGGGAAGACGGCACUAUGGGUUGUAAACCUCUUUUGUCAGAGAACAAAACCUGGGACGUGUCCCCGACUGCGUGUAUCCGAAGAAAAAGCAUCGGCUAACUCCGUGCCAGCAGCCGCGGUAAUACGGAGGAUGCGAGCGUUAUCCGGAUUUAUUGGGUUUAAAGGGUGCGUAGGCGGUCGGAUAAGGUAGAGGUGAAAGCCCGAGGCUCAACUUCGGAAUUGCCUCUGAUACUGUUCGGCUAGAGAGUAGGUGCGGUAGGCGGAAUGUAUGGUGUAGCGGUGAAAUGCUUAGAGAUCAUACAGAACACCGAUUGCGAAGGCAGCUUACCAAGCUACUUCUGACGUUGAGGCACGAAAGCGUGGGGAGCAAACAGGAUUAGAUACCCUGGUAGUC
rnacentral:rRNA from 1 species